AUUUCAAGUUUGCAUUCUACAAACAAACACGUGCAGAUUUCGCGGAUGAAAAAUGAAACGCCAGCAGGCCCAGCACCAACAACAGUCGUUGAUGAACCGGAUGAAAACAGAUAUGACAAGUAAUAGAGAGACUGGAGGAGAUGGAGGAGGAGAGGCAGGAAGAGAGACAGAAGGAAAUGGAAGAGAGACGGGAGGAGAUAGAGGAGAGACAGGAGCCUCACAGGUGCUGAGACAGAGUCGUCCGGAUCCAGAUAUGAUGGAGAUACAGCCAUAACAUUUCAGCGACAGCGUGGGAGACUAAGCAGAACAAAACGACAUGUCUGCCUCAGAGUGGGACUGCUCAUUUCAGUUUGUUACUGAGAUGAUGCAGGCAUUCAGCAGGUGGCAGGCAGAGGAAGAGGCUAAAAUCAAUUUGGCUGGAGGUACACCCUCAGUGGCUGGCUCCUACAGGGAGACACUGAGGGAUAAUGUGAUGAGGUUUUUUGACACUCAGCGGUGCUGUACAGAGCAGCAGGGGGAGACAUUUGUCCUCUCUGAAGAACAGGCCAUAGCCCUCACAGAGAUUGUGGAAAGGGCUUAUCAUGAUACUGAAGCCCUGAUGCAGUCAGUCCAAAGGUGGGAGGCUGAGGAAUGCUCUCAGUCGGAGGUUGAAGGUGAGUGCUCAGCAGUUUGUCCCACCCAACAAAAGAUGGAGGCAGAGCUGAGAGACGUUUUUGACCUCCGGCGAGAGUUUGCUGAGGAUAGAGGAGAAACACAUGCUAUACCUGCACCUGUGUUAUGUGUUAUCACUGUAUUUCUAUUUAUUUAUUUAUUUAUUGCUGCUAUUUAUUUAUUCAUCAUCAAUUGUUAUCAUUGUAUUUCUAUUUAUUUAUUGCUGCUAUUUAUUUAUUCAUCAUCAAUCGUUAUCAUUGUAUUUGUAUUUAUUUAUUGCUGCUAUGUAUUUAUUUAUUGCUGCUAUUUAUUU